UAAGGAUCCCUCAUGGUUUGC
rnacentral:siRNA from 1 species